rnacentral:rRNA from 1 species
GGUUCAUUCAAAUUUCUGCCCUAUCAACUUUCGACGGCUGGGUCUUGGCCAGCCAUGGUGACAACGGGUAACGGAGGGUUAGGGCUCGACCCGGAGAAGGAGCCUGAGAAACGGUACUACAUCCAAGGAAGGCAGCAGGCGCGCAAAUUACCCAAUCCCGACCUGGGAGGUAGUGACAAUAAAUACUGAUACAGGGCUCUUUUGGGUCUUGUAAUUGGAAUGAGUACAAUUUAAAUCCCUUAACGAGGAACAAUUGGAGGGCAAGUCUGGUGCCAGCAGCCGCGGUAAUUCCAGCUCCAAUAGCGUAUAUUAAAGUUGUGAGGUUAAAAAGCUCGUAGUUG